GCCCACCAAAUGGAUUCAGUUCCACAUCUCUGGUGCAAAACUGAAAGGAAUAAUAAUAAUAAUAAUAAUAAUAAUAAUAAUAAUAAUAAUUUAUUUGUACCCCGCCCAUCUGGCUGGGUUUCCCCAGCCACUCUGGGUGGCUUCCACAGAGACCAAAAAUACACUAAAAUGUCACACAUUAAGAACUUCCCUGAACAGGGCUGCCUUAAGAUGUCUUCUGAAUGUCAGGCAGUUGUUUAUCUCUUUGACAUCUGAUGGGAGGGCGUUCCACAGGGUGGGCGCCACUACCGAGAAGGCCCUCUGCCUGGUUCCCUGUAGCUUUGCUUCUCGCAAUGAGGGAACCGCCAGAAGGCCCUCAGAGCUGGACCUCAGUGUCCGGGCAGAAAGAUGGGGGUGGAGAUGCUCCUUCAGGUAUACUGGGCCAAGGCUGUUUAGGGCUUUAAAGGUCAGCACCAACACUUUGAAUUAAGAACAGGAAAGAUUAGAUGGCUGAAUAAGCUGAAGGAUUUGGGCAAACGUCCCUCUUGUGGCGACUGGCCAUGUGCCAAUGAAUCACCGAAGAUCAAACUCUGCUGGCAAUUCCGUCAAUAAAUAUGUCAUUUAUUUAUUUAGUUCAAAAAAAUUACACACCACCUGAUUGUAAUUACUUAAAAAAAAUAAAAAAUCCAAAGUGGUUUAUGAAAAGAAUGAAACUACAAAAUUUCCGAUAAGAACAGUGAAAAGCAGCUGCUUAAAAUCUUUGGGAAAUGAUUAAAAUAAACAAUAAGCUAAACGUUCUAGGUAUCUGGGGUAGGCCUGUCCAGACAAAAAAAUGUUUUAAAGAGGCGCUGAAAAGAAUCUAGUGAAGGUGCCAGACUGAUGUCAAUCGGCAGGGAGGAGUGCCAAUGUCUGGGUGCGGCCACCCUAAGGUAAAUAUUGAUCCUUUACAAAUGCAGAAUGAAUAUUACGCGGCACCUGGGACAAUGUGAAUUCCGCAGUGCCAGGAAUCCUGGAGGAAGUUCCCAGGUGAAUGAAUCAUGGAGUGAUAACAACUCCCCAGGUGAAAAGGAAAUCAUUGCAGACUCGGAAGGCUCUGCCACACACGGAGAAAGGCCCAGGAUCAGGUCCAUGGGCCUGAUCCUGCAGGCUCGUCUUAUGUCAGCCUGCCGUUUGAGUAACCCAGCACUGACUCCAGACCAGACCUUCCAAGUCAAGUUGGAAAGGACAAGGUAACUGUUAGGUGGAUUUGUAGCUGAUUGGCUGACCAAACCCAAAGAGUUCUCAUUUGUGCGUCCUUGUAAUCCUGCCCAAAAAAGAAAGAAAAUGACUUUUUUUUUUUAAAAAAAGGGGGAAAUGUUUAAUGCAUAUCUUUUAAGCUUUGUAUAUAGAUUUUUACAUUACUAUAACUGACUCUGUUAUAGAGUCAGUGGAGGCAGUGAGAGAUUUUACUUUCUUGGGCUCCAUGAUCACUGCAGAUGGUGACAGCAGUCAUGAAAUUAAAAGACACCUGCUUCUUGGGAGAAAAGCAAUGACAAAUCUAGACAGCAUCAUAAAAAGCAAAGACAUCACCUUGCCAACAAAGGUCCGUAUAGUUAAAGUUAUGGUUUUCCCAGUAUUGAUGUAUGGAAGUGAGAGUUGGACCAUAAAGAAGGCUGAUCGCCAAAGAAUGGAUGCUUUUGAAUUCUGGUGCUGGAGGAGACUCUUGAGAGUCCCAUGGACUGCAAGAAGAUCAAACCUCUCCAUUCUGAAGGAAAUCAGCCCUGAGUGCUCACUGGAAGGACAGAUCGUGAAGCUGAGGCUCCAAUACUUUGGCCACCUCAUGAGAAGAGAAGACUGCCUGGGAAAGACUCUGAUGUUGGGAAAGAUGGAGGGCACAAGGAGAAGGGGACGACAGAGGACGAGAUGGUGGGACAGUGUUCUCGAAGCUACCAGCAUGAGUUUGACCAAACUGUGGGAGGCAGUGGAAGACAGGAGUGCCUGGCGUGCUCUGGUCCGUGGGGUCACAAAGAGUCGGACACGACUAAACAACAACAACAACAACUGACUCUGUAUAUUAAGGCAGCCUCCGAUUCUCCUGCGAUCCUUCCUGGUCUCUGCAACCAGCUUGGGUGUUGUGCAAUUCUCCUGCGGAGUUGUAUCGCUGGAUGAUCCACCUGGGAAUUUCCUCCAAGAUUCCUGGCACUGUUGCAAGAGCCACAUAAUGUUCAUUCUGCAUUUCUAAGAAUCUUUAUGUUUGGCCGCACCCACACUUUGGAAGUCCCUGCCUGUUGAAAUCAGAAAGGUGUCUUCACUGUUCUCUUUCUGUACCUGUUGUUUGGCCUUGCUGGGCAAGCACAAUGUGUGUAAACCGGAACAGAAAUCACUAACUGUGAUUGCCAAGGGUUUGCAAUCAUAUUAUUAUUAUUGAUUGCCGCUAUUAUUGUUUUUUUAAAAAAUAAUUUUUAUUAAGUUUCCAUAUUUAUUUACAUCUCAUUUUACGGAUCUAUAACUUAAAGCAUUGCUCAAACAGAGCAUCAACUUCUUUCUGACUUCCAAACAUCUUUUACUAAAUUUUCGCAUUUCUUUAACCACUUUUUUACCUUAAAACGUCUUCUUUUUUAUAAAAAUUACCUCCUUAUACGUAAAUCAGUUGCUUAUUUUCACAUUACAAAGCGUUUCAGUUCAAACCUACAAACAUUUUAAAAUGUUUACCAUUUUCUUUCAUAUAGAAUAUAAAUUUGCUCCAGACCUUUUGAAACAGUUAGUCUCACCGAUUCCAGAUCAUGAUUUGGUCUUGCUGGACAAGCACAAUGUGUGUAAACCUGAACAGAAAUCACUAAACGUGAUUGCCAAAUACUUGCAAUUAUAUUAUUAUUAUUGAUUGCCGCUAUUAUUGUUUAGCACUGCCUGACAUUUCAAGAAGGCAACAUUAAAAUUCUUUGGUUUUCCGAAAGCAGUUAAUAUGCUUCUGCAUCAAAUGUAGAAGGCAGGAGCGUCUCCACCCCCAUCAUUCAGCCCAGACUCUGAGGUCCAGCUCCAAGGGCCUUCUGGCAGUUCCCUCCCUGCGAGAAGCCAAGUUACAGGGAACCAGGCAGAGGGCCUUCUCAGUGGUGGCUCCCGCCCUGUGGAACGCCCUCCCACCAGAUGUCAAGGAAAUAAACAACUACAGUGGUACCUUGGGUUAAGUACCGUAUUUUUUGCUCUAUAAGACUCACUUUUUCCCUCCUAAAAAGUAAGGGGAAAUGUGUGUGCGUCUUAUGGAGCGAAUGCAGGCUGCGCAGCUAUCCCAGAAGCCAGAACAGCAAGAGGGGGUUGCUGCUUUCACUGCGCAACGAUCCCUCUUGCUGUUCUGGCUUCUGAGCUUCAGAAUAUUUUAUGUCUUGUUUUCCUCCUCCAAAAACUAGGUGCGUCUUGUGGUCUGGUGCGUCUUAUAGAGCGAAAAAUACGAUACUUAAUUCGUUCUGGAGGUCCGUUCUUAACCUGAAACUGUUCUUAACCUGAAGCACCACUUGAGCUAAUGGGGCCUCCUGCUGCUGCCAGAGCCCGAUUUCUGUUCUUAUCCUGAAGCAAAGUUCUUAACCUGAAGCACUAUUUCUGGGUUAGUGGAGUCUGUAACCUGAAGCGUCUGUAACCUGAAGCGUCUGUAACUCAAGGUACCACUGUAUCUGACUUUUAGAAGACAUCUGAAGGCAGCCCUGCUUAGGGAAGCUUUUAAUAUUUGAUGAAUUGUUGUAUUUUAAUAUUUUGCUAGAAGCCCAGCCAGAUGGGCGGGGUAUAAAUGAAUUGAUGAUGAUGCCAAGCUAAAUGUUGUCUAGCCACAAAUAUAAUAGCAAAUUUGAAUUCCUCAUACCCAAAUAAGCCACAUUUGGAAGGCCACUCAAUGAGGAAAUUUGCAAAAAUUCAUCCCCUAAAAUGAUGGCUAAAAUAGCCACCCAACCUCUGGUUAGAAACCACCUCUGGAGGAGAGCGUGCCAACUUGAAUGGAUCCUUCAAUGAACCUGUCACUGGCCCUGCUUAGGGGGCUCAGACCCCAUACCCGUUGCUGGUCACACUGUUUUCACCCCAUCCUGGGAGUGCGCAGCCUGGGAGUCAUUCUGGGCUCACAGCCGUCCAUGGAGGCGCAGGUCAAUUCUGUGUCCAGGGCAGCUGUUUACCAGCUCCAUCUGGUACGCAGGCUGAGACCCUCCCUGCCCGCGGACUGUCUCUCCAGAGUGGUGCAUGCUCUGGUUAUCUCCUGCUUGGACUACUGCAACGCGCUCUACGUGGGGCUACCUUUGAGGGUGACCCGGAAACUGCAGCUAAUCCAGAAUGCGGCAGCUAGACUGGUGACUGGGAGUGGCUGCCGGGACCACAUAACACCAGUUCUGAGAGAUCUGCAUUGGCUCCCAGUACGUUUCCGAGCACAGUUCAAAGUGUUGGUGCUGACCUUGAAAGCCCUAAACGGCCUCAGCUCAGUAUACCUGAAGGAGCGUCUCCACCCUCAUCGUUCAGCCCGGACACUGAGGUCCAGCUCCGAGGGCCUUCUGGCUGUUCCCUCAUUGCGAGAAGUGAGGUUACGGGGAACCAGACAGUGGGCCUUCUCGGUGGUGGCGCCCGCCCUGUGGAACGCCCUCCCUUCAGAUGUGAAGGAAAUAAGCACCUAUCUUCUCUUUAAAAGACAUGUGAAGGCAGCCCUUUUGAAUAUUUUGAAUAUUUAAUGCUGUUUUGUUUUUAACACUUGAUUGGAAGCCGCCCAGAGUGGCUGGGGAAACUCAGCCAGAUGGGCGGGGUAUAUAUAAUAAAUUAUUAUUAUUAUUAUUAUUAUUAUCCUCAUUGCCAACCUUGGCUCUUUCUGUUGCAGGCAAGGAGCACCUGUUCCGAGUGCGUAUGCGUCAAUGGCACAUGGGUUCUGACCUGGAGGCCUGGAUGCGGCGGUGCCAUAGCAGGAGGUAUCCCUGAACAUGACGCAUGGAAAGGAGGUACCCCUGAACAUGAGGCAUGGAAAGGUCGCUGCAAGAACACUCCCUGUUAGCAACAUACCCCGGCAUCCCCUCUCCUCUCUGCCCCCCUCCAGUCUCCAAAGAAGCACAGACUGGUCCAGGAGAUGCAACUGAGGAUAUUCCACCCCGAUGCAAAGUCUCAACGAGUGAAGAGUCAGCUCUUGCAGAGGUUCCUCACGGUGCUUCCAGCUCUUAUGUCUCAAUAAAGCAUUUGCAAAGGUU
rnacentral:lncRNA from 1 species